CCUACGGGAGGCAGCAGUGGGGAAUUUUCCGCAAUGGGCGAAAGCCUGACGGAGCAACGCCGCGUGAGGGAGGAAGGCUCUUGGGUUGUAAACCUCUUUUCUCAGGGAAGAAGCUCUGACGGUACCUGAGGAAUCAGCAUCGGCUAACUCCGUGCCAGCAGCCGCGGUAAUACGGAGGAUGCAAGCGUUAUCCGGAAUGAUUGGGCGUAAAGCGUCCGCAGGUGGCGAUUCAAGUCUGCUGUCAAAGGUCGGGGCUCAACCCUGAACGGGCGGUGGAAACUGAACAGCUAGAGUGCGGUAGGGGUAGAGGGAAUUCCCGGUGUAGCGGUGAAAUGCGUAGAGAUCGGGAAGAACACCAGUGGCGAAAGCGCUCUACUAGGCCUGCACUGACACUCAGGGACGAAAGCUAGGGGAGCGAAUGGGAUUAGAUACCCCAGUAGUCCUAGCCGUAAACGAUGGAUACUAGGCGUUGCGAGAAUCGACCCUCGCAGUGUCGUAGCUAACGCGUUAAGUAUCCCGCCUGGGGAGUAC
rnacentral:rRNA from 1 species